rnacentral:rRNA from 1 species
UACGGAGGGUGCAAGCGUUAUCCGGAUUCACUGGGUUUAAAGGGUGCGUAGGUGGGGUGGUAAGUCAGUGGUGAAAUCUCCGAGCUUAACUUGGAAACUGCCAUUGAUACUAUCAUUCUUGAAUAUUGUGGAGGUCAGCGGAAUAUGUCAUGUAGCGGUGAAAUGCUUAGAUAUGACAUAGAACACCAAUUGCGAAGGCAGCUCACUACACGAAUAUUGACACUGAGGCACGAAAGCGUGGGGAUCAAACAGG